UUUUUAAGUUUUUUUUUUUUUUAAGAUUUUAUUUAUUUAUUUGUCAAGGAGAUAGAGCGAGAGAGCACAAACAAGACAGAGUG